rnacentral:lncRNA from 1 species
GUGUUUUUCUAAAAAGUGUGGUAUCAAUUUUUCCUCUUGAAAAACCAUUUUCAAUUAAAAAUGUGCUAAGUCUGUCAUACCAAGCUCUAGGAGCUUGUUUAAGACCAUAAAGAGCUUUUGUUAAUUUGAAAACAUGAUUUGGUUUUUCUUUGUUUAUGAAUCCAGGUGGUUGACUUACAUAAACUUCUUCAUUUAGAAAACCAUUUAAAAAUGCACUUUUCACAUCCAUUUGAAAAAGUUUAAUGCUUUUAUGUGCAGCAUAAGCAAGAAGAAUUCUGAUGGCUUCUAACCUUGCAACUGGUGCAAAGGUCUCAUCAUAGUCAAUACCUUCUUGUUGGUUGUAACCUUGAGCAACUAACCUUGCUUUGUUUCUGACAACCUUACCUUCUUCAUCAAGCUUG